rnacentral:rRNA from 1 species
UACAGAGGUGGCAAGCGUUGUUCGGAAUUACUGGGCGUAAAGGGCUCGUAGGCGGCCAACUAAGUCGGACGUGAAAUCCCUCGGCUUAACCGGGGAACUGCGUCCGAUACUGGAUGGCUAGAGUUCGGGAGAGGGAUGCGGAAUUCCAGGUGUAGCGGUGAAAUGCGUAGAUAUCUGGAGGAACACCGGUGGCGAAGGCGGCAUCCUGGACCGACACUGACGCUGAGGAGCGAAAGCCAGGGGAGCAAACGGG